GGGCUCUUGGGGACGAAGCCAUCGAGCUAGCUGUACUCAGGGUCUUGCUCUCUGCCAUUCGAUCUCCCUACGUGCUUGUCAGAGGUGAUUGCCUUGUCCAUAUUGUUAGGUCUUGUUACAAUGUCUAUCUCGGGGGAAUGAAUGGCACCAAUCAGAUCUGUGCCAAGUCCGUUCUUGCUCAGAUGAUGAUAAUUGUUUUCACCAGAGUGGAGGAGAAUUCCAUGAUAGUGGACUUCAAGACCGUCUCUGUAGCUGAACUCUUGGAGUUCACGGAUAGAAAUUUGAACGAGGGAAGCUCCAUACAGAUCGCCCAGAAUUUCCUCAAUGAGAUUGUGGAUGUCAAGUCCAAAGAAGGCAUUGCUGAAUCAAAGUUGUGUUUGCAGUUGGAGAAUGACAACAGUGAAAAGAAGGGUGA
rnacentral:misc_RNA from 1 species